ensembl:lncRNA
UGUACUUGUUUCCUAGAAAUUGUGCCAGUGCUCUGUGAGUUACAGGAGUUGCUGUUCUGUGUAUAUGGAAAAAUUGUUGGAUUAUGCCAGAAAGUCAAGAUGACCUAAAGAAAUCACUAGAGGAACAAAGAAACAAGGACCCCAGCCAACAGGUUCUAAUAGACCCAUCUUAAAUCAAGAAGGUAAACAAGAUGGUGAACUGCUUUGGCUCAGAAAUUGUGUCCUCAGAGAAAAAGUAAUUCUGAGUAAUUCUGGAAGUGUCCAUGACCAUGGACUCAGGAAACCCACUGACUCAAAAGAUGAGCAGUUAUGCACAUGCAGGCCUAGUUAGCAAAUAUGAUGCCAGUCAAUUAUGAGUUAAAAUAAAUAUAUAUUAGAUAUAGAGAAAGGCAAAUACAUUCAUUCCAAGUUGGCUUUGUGGAAUUACUACCUAGCACCCAUCUUGGUGCAAACAUGAAAUAAAUGAAAUAUCUUGGCUCUGGGCCAGAUACUGGCUUUUCACUGCAGGUACUGAGCCCUGUUUGAGGAACACCACCAGCUGUGUUGGAGAUAAAAAACAGAUGUAUGGGUCUGUUUUUGGGAAAAGGAGAACAGCUUGACCUAAAAAACACGGAAUGCAAUAAAAGGGAAACUAAGACAAUGAAAUAAAAGGGAAGAGACUGAUUAUGAUGCUGACAUCUUAAGAGACAGAAACAAUUAACCAUUUGCCCAGAGAGUUACAAGGAAUCAGGAGGGGGUUAUGAAACAUGGUCUUGUCUUAUUGUUGUAAAAUGUUAAAUAUGUAAAAAUUCUCUUAAGAAAGAAAGAUAUUUGGUAUUUAUAUGUUUUCAAGCCUAAUUAACAAGAAAGAAGAUACAAUCCACAAAGCAGGUAGCAGCUAACAAGCAAGCUCUAAGUCAUGCUCAGGUGUUAAAGAAAAAGUACUUGUUGUCCUCCUUAACAUUUAGGGCUUGGCAUUGAUCUCAGGCAUAGUGGGAGGUUAGCAAAGCUUGGAAAGAAUGUACUACUGACAGAGGACACAAAGAAUGCAGAGUUUAUAGGCCACAAGGACAUCUGGAAGAACUCCCAGGAUAUGGAAGAAACUAAUAAAGACAACUCAGCAACUGUGCUGAAAUUGGCUCUGACUGGAUAAAGGUAAUUCUGAUAUGGGGAGAUCACAACCACCGACUCAAGAAACUCAGCAACCCAAAAGAAGUGAAAGACUGGGCAUGUGGACUAAUUACCAUGAGAAGCAACCUCCAAAUCAUACUGGAUUUUUCUUACCAGUUAUUUAUGACCCUUUGUUAAAUGACACCUCUCACAGUACAAAAUACAUGAUAGAUGAAGAGCCACACUAUUACAAAUAUUAAGAAAUUAGGAGGACAAGAUGAAAAAAAUUAGUAGUUUUUUUAACUGCUGGCACUUAAUUUAAAUAAUCUUCUCAUUUUGGCUUUUUAUUCUCAAGAGGUGACAUAAAUCAGGAUUCACAAGUAAAGGAAUACUUCUGUGAGAAUAGUAAACACAGGUGUUAUCAGGGUGAGGUUUACUUUGACUGUCCGUGUAUUUUUGUCUUAAAGCCAUUUUAACUAAUGCUGCUAGAGCCUGUAGGUAAGCCUCCACAGCUUACCUAACUACUGGAAUGCUACUGCAAUCAAGCUGCCUUUAUUAUGGUAAGGACUCAGUAUCUCAGCAUGACCUCACUCUGAAUCACCCCUCACUUCACAGCUCUUAAUAGACUGCUGACUUGUGUGGAUUACUAAGCAAUUCCUAUAAAAAUAAUAGUGCUGGGAAUAUUAUAAUUCUAUCAUAUUUUGUGCCAGUUGUGAAAAAUAACUCUCUGAAGGACAAUUAUGUAUGGAAAAUGUGUCAACUCAUGGUGCCAGAGAUGAGCUCACUCUGGAGUAGCCCUUCAGCAAAUAUUGUGAUAUUUACUUCCUCGAGAUUUGAAUCAAACUCUGCAGUUUUUUUGCUGUUAAUCAGUCCCUAUAGCUAGGAAGUUACAAUUAAGCAAUUGCACAGUGAAACAUGUACACAUGGCUAAUCCUUUGCUUUAAGGAAAAGGGAACACAAUCCCAAAAUAAAUGGGCUGUCUGGAUGGGAGCCCUUGCAGUGAAGUCAGCAGGACUGAGCAGUAACUGGGGGAAAGGUAAUCCUGGCAGGGGAGAUCAAAAACAGUGACCCCCUGACCACCAAGUUAAAACAGAUCCCCAAAUGGAAAGGGGGGAAGUGUACAUGUGCAAUAAUUAGCAUGAGAAGAAAGAGCUAUAACUGGCAUAUAAAGAUCUGAGUAGUAAUUAAUGAGAAAGCUACAUCAAUUGUAACCAAUGAAAACUGAUGGCUUUGUUUGCUAAAAUGUGCAAAUAGUGUAAAGUUUUGAUGGUGAUGAGCCAGACUUUUGUGGGUUGCCCUCUAAUUUCCUAGUUUCCACAGAAUACAAUAAAGAAAUAGGAAUUCCUCACCUUGGUGUGUGAAGGGGUGUCACACACCAACCAGGUGAUAAGCCUGUGCUUGGGACAACACAGGAUGUUCUUCUAAACCACGCCCAUUAAAUAUCUGCA